rnacentral:rRNA from 1 species
GGCCUGUUGAGUAUAAUUUUAGGUCUGACCUGCCCGCUGAGUAAUUAAAUGGCCGCGGUAUAUUGACCGUGCAAAGGUAGCAUAAUCAUUAGUUUUUUAAUUGAAAGCUUGUAUGAAAGGUUUGAUGAAAAAAAGUCUGUCUCUGUAAAAUUUUAUUAGAAUUUUAUUUUUAAGUUAAAAAGCUUAAAUUUAAAUAGAAGACGAGAAGACCCUAUAGAGUUUUAUAUUUAAAUAAAAUAAUUAGAUUAAAGGAAUCGCUAAUUUUGAUUUUGUUUAUUUAUUUUGUUGGGGUGAUAGAAAAAAUAAUUAAACUUUUUUUAUAUGGAAACAUUUAUUUAUGAGUGAAUGAUCCUGAGUUUUGGAUUAUAAGAUUAAAUUACCUUAGGGAUAACAGCGUGAUUUUUUUUAGAGUUCUUAUCGAAAAGAAAGAUUGCGACCUCGAUGUUGGAUUAAAAUUUAAUAUUGGUGUAGAAGCUAGUAUGUUAGGUCUGUUCGACCUUUAAAAUUUUACAUGAUCUGAGUUUARACCGGCGUGAG